GGGGAUGUGGCUCAGAGGUAGAGCGCUUGCCUAACAUGCGUGGGGCACUGAGUUCCAUCCUCAGCACCA
rnacentral:tRNA from 1 species